rnacentral:rRNA from 1 species
AGUCGAGAAUUUUUCACAAUGGGGGCAACCCUGAUGGAGCGACGCCGCGUGGAGGAUGAAGGCCUUCGGGUUGUAAACUCCUGUCAUGCGGGAACAAGCAAGUGAUAGUACCGCAAGAGGAAGAGACGGCUAACUCUGUGCCAGCAGCCGCGGUAAUACAGAGGUCUCAAGCGUUGUUCGGAUUCAUUGGGCGUAAAGGGUGCGUAGGUGGUGAUGCAAGUCUGGUGUGAAAUCUCGGAGCUCAACUCCGAAAUUGCACCGGAUACUGCGUGACUCGAGGACUGUAGAGGAGAUCGGAAUUCACGGUGUAGCAGUGAAAUGCGUAGAUAUCGUGAGGAAGACCAGUUGCGAAGGCGGAUCUCUGGGCAGUUCCUGACACUGAGGCACGAAGGCCAGGGGAGCAAA